UGAGUAUGAAAGUAUUGGCUAAUCUAAACAAGAUCAAGAACAAAGACCCAUGAAGUACAAAAAGAAGGAAGAAGAUAUUUAGUCCGUAAUAAUGAGGGGAAAUGAUUCAUGCCAUGUGGUGACACAAGGGCACUGAAUAAUAACAUUACACAAGUGCUGCGCUUCAGUUGUUCCACUGAAUUCUAUAGGACUUUCUGUCUAUUGGAUCACUGCAGAGGAGUCCAUUAAAUACAGUGAAUCUCUUCACUCAUGUCAGGGAGACAGUGAUAAAGAAGAUGACCCUUACUAAAGCUUCAGGUAGAUGCUGUGCAUCAGACUGGUGAGCAAGGUAAGAAAGCAUAACAACUUUUCUUUCUUAGUUUGAUCUUAAAACAAACUUAAUGACAGCUUUGAAUCGAGUGAAACUCUGCCCAAUGCAAA